rnacentral:rRNA from 1 species
UAGAGUUUGAUCCUGGCUCAGGACGAACGCUGGCGGCGUGCUUAACACAUGCAAGUCGAACGGAAAGGUCUCUUCGGAGACACUCGAGUGGCGAACGGGUGAGUAACACGUGGGCAAUCUGCCCUGCACACCGGGAUAAGCCUGGGAAACUGGGUCUAAUACCGGAUAGGACCACUUGGCGCAUGCCUUGUGGUGGAAAGCUUUUGCGGUGUGGGAUGGGCCCGCGGCCUAUCAGCUUGUUGGUGGGGUGACGGCCUACCAAGGCGACGACGGGUAGCCGGCCUGAGAGGGUGUCCGGCCACACUGGGACUGAGAUACGGCCCAGACUCCUACGGGAGGCAGCAGUGGGGAAUAUUGCACAAUGGGCGCAAGCCUGAUGCAGCGACGCCGCGUGGGGGAUGACGGCCUUCGGGUUGUAAACCUCUUUCACCAUCGACGAAGGUCCGGGUUCUCUCGGAUUGACGGUAGGUGGAGAAGAAGCACCGGCCAACUACGUGCCAGCAGCCGCGGUAAUACGUAGGGUGCGAGCGUUGUCCGGAAUUACUGGGCGUAAAGAGCUCGUAGGUGGUUUGUCGCGUUGUUCGUGAAAUCUCACGGCUUAACUGUGAGCGUGCGGGCGAUACGGGCAGACUAGAGUACUGCAGGGGAGACUGGAAUUCCUGGUGUAGCGGUGGAAUGCGCAGAUAUCAGGAGGAACACCGGUGGCGAAGGCGGGUCUCUGGGCAGUAACUGACGCUGAGGAGCGAAAGCGUGGGGAGCGAACAGGAUUAGAUACCCUGGUAGUCCACGCCGUAAACGGUGGGUACUAGGUGUGGGUUUCCUUCCUUGGGAUCCGUGCCGUAGCUAACGCAUUAAGUACCCCGCCUGGGGAGUACGGCCGCAAGGCUAAAACUCAAAGGAAUUGACGGGGGCCCGCACAAGCGGCGGAGCAUGUGGAUUAAUUCGAUGCAACGCGAAGAACCUUACCUGGGUUUGACAUGCACAGGACGCGUCUAGAGAUAGGCGUUCCCUUGUGGCCUGUGUGCAGGUGGUGCAUGGCUGUCGUCAGCUCGUGUCGUGAGAUGUUGGGUUAAGUCCCGCAACGAGCGCAACCCUUGUCUCAUGUUGCCAGCGGGUAAUGCCGGGGACUCGUGAGAGACUGCCGGGGUCAACUCGGAGGAAGGUGGGGAUGACGUCAAGUCAUCAUGCCCCUUAUGUCCAGGGCUUCACACAUGCUACAAUGGCCGGUACAAAGGGCUGCGAUGCCGCGAGGUUAAGCGAAUCCUUUUAAAGCCGGUCUCAGUUCGGAUCGGGGUCUGCAACUCGACCCCGUGAAGUCGGAGUCGCUAGUAAUCGCAGAUCAGCAACGCUGCGGUGAAUACGUUCCCGGGCCUUGUACACACCGCCCGUCACGUCAUGAAAGUCGGUAACACCCGAAGCCAGUGGCCUAACCCUCGGGAGGGAGCUGUCGAAGGUGGGAUCGGCGAUUGGGACGAAGUCGUAACAAGGUAGCCGUA